AACAUUAACUCAUUUCAAAUAGGAUGAUGAUAGGCAUCAAAGUACACUCAGCGAUUACAGGCUGUGGGGUGCCAUGCCCGCCAGUGAAAAGCGCUGCCCAGCCUUCCGCCACGAGGGCUCAGGGACAAACCCGAAAGGGCAGGUGAGAGGGCGAUUGGCGGCGAGGAGCUCCAGGACCUGGGCGCGUCCCUCAGCUCCAGCAAUCCACUGAGUCGAUGUAAACAUUGCCUAUUCACUGAUGACGACCUGAGUGUUAAAUAACACAUCCAAGUUCAAGCAGUGAUGGAACUGGAAUUUGAAAUUAGGUGCAGACUUUUAAGUUCCAACUCAGAGCAAGGGGGAUGAUGUUUCCCACACCAUCAUAGUAGUACUCGAACUCAAAUCUAUGUCCACAAAACACCUUGCAGCCAUGAAGAAAUCUGCUCAACCUUCCACUUUUCCUCUGGAAUUGACAAAGGACCCCAAGGGAAAAACAGAUCCAAAUGCUGGACUCAUUCCUAGGCUAUUUUAAACCGCCUCUCUACCUUUCCAAGGACUGCUGGUUAACAAUACCAACCCAUCAGACACACUGAGAAAAUUAUGAAGCAAACUCUUUGACAUAAGGAGAGGCCAACUACAGUCAUCGUGGCUUUGUAGUGGGCUCUUUCAUCAGACGUUUUGUGUAAUAAGUUUUACUCGUGGUAAACAUUGCACCUUUUUAUCCAAGCAAUACUAAGGGUACCCUCCCCCCACCCUGCAAAAAAAAAAAAGACUCUUUAAAAAGUCUUUGUUUGUUAUACCAUAAUUCAAUUCACAAAUUUAUGUCAUCACUAACAUCAUCUGUAAAUUUAAUAACAUAAAAUGCAAGUAAAUUCUCUGUUUCCAUCCAUUUUUAAGGUUAAAUAAUGUUGAAAUGAGCUCAAUCUUUGUCAUUUGUUUAAUAUUAAAAUUUGAGUUGUUGUAUAAAAACACCUUCAGCUUGACUUCACCUAUAAUAAAGGGUUGCGUAUAGAUUUCUCCAGUUGUCUCCAAUUUACUGCCCAAAAUGAUUCUGAUAUUGACUUUGAAGGAUUUUAAUUUGACCCUCUGAUUGGGUUCUCUAUUUUACCUAGUUAAGACUUCUCUUUUUGAAGUUGCAAAAGAGACUGAUAAUUUUUUUUCAAAUGUGUAUAAUGAAUUUAAAUUAUCAAAAUGAACAUUUUAAGAAUUUCUUAUCUUGGGGUUUUCUCACCAAAGAAAUAAUAUUUGGUAUCAUAUGCAGCUUUUCAGCAAUAAAACUGAUCUUUAAUUAAGCAUCUAAGUACCUGUUAGAAUUUAUAGAUUUGCUGCUGCUGCUGGCCACUACUGUUCACUAUUUGUGGUCCAAGGCCUGUUCUCAACCACUUCAUUUUCAAGUUCAAAGCAGGAGGCCUAAAUGGACAAUCACUCUUUUUCAACAUGAUUUUAGCUUGUUUUGAAUUUUUCUCAUCACAAAUAUUUUUUCUAUAAGCAUAUGACUUAAAUAUAUUGUCUUAAGUAUAUCAAGAACUAUGUUGGGGGGCAAUGGGGACAAAGGGAACAUAUGUAAUACUUUCAACAAUAAAGGUUUAUUUUAAAACAUUAAAAAAUAAA